CAUGGUUCGGUUGGAAAACCACGCAGCUCCAAGGAAAACGCGCUUCGCGGUUUCGUGUGUGGAUGUGUGUUCGCUGUCGCCGUUGGGAUCUUCAGCGACAAGCAAGCAAUGACUUGGCAAGUCACUGCAGGAAGGAAGGAUGGAAGGAUGGAGGACACUAUCUGGUGCUGUGAAUUAUGAUCCUGGCGGGGAGACCGCAAGACCCGCAGAGACCCAUAACAAUAAACGGCCCAGACCUUCGGAGCCUUCGAUUGACGAUCAUUUUUAAUUUCGCACUCAACAAAGGCCCCAGAAAAAUCGGUCAAUGAAUCCUCCAGCA